AGUGAACGCUGGCGGUAGGCCUAACACAUGCAAGUCGAACGGCAGCACAGUAAGAGCUUGCUCUUACGGGUGGCGAGUGGCGGACGGGUGAGGAAUACAUCGGAAUCUACUUUUUCGUGGGGGAUAACGUAGGGAAACUUACGCUAAUACCGCAUACGACCUACGGGUGAAAGCAGGGGAUCUUCGGACCUUGCGCGAUUGAAUGAGCCGAUGUCGGAUUAGCUAGUUGGCGGGGUAAAGGCCCACCAAGGCGACGAUCCGUAGCUGGUCUGGGAGGAUGAUAGGCCACACUGGAACUGAGACACGGUCCAGACUCCUACGGGAGGCAGCAGUGGGGAAUAUUGGACAAUGGGCGCAAGCCUGAUCCAGCCAUACCGCGUGGGUGAAGAAGGCCUUCGGGUUGUAAAGCCCUUUUGUUGGGAAAGAAAAGCAGCAGGUUAAUACCCCGCUGUUCUGACGGUACCCAAAGAAUAAGCACCGGCUAACUUCGUG
rnacentral:rRNA from 1 species